UUUUUUUUUUUUCAGGCGUUCACACUGAUCUGAGGUAGAUUCAGUUUGUUUCAAUUUUAGAGCUAUUUUUCGUUUUACCCUGAAGUACAUCAUCUGAUUUUAUAUAAUCAAUGUUUUAAGUUUACAGUAAAUGUCAGUUCAAAACGGUUUAAACAUUAUAGCAUUAAAAUAUAUUACACGUAAUUACUAGUGCAUCUGCACACACAAAAUUGCGUGCAUUCCACCUUUAAUUUUAAGCGCUAGUGACAUGGUGUAUACUGUAUUAUAUAUAAUAUACGUCUUGUAUUCAAAUUAUUGAUAACAAAAUUAAUAUACGAACAAAUGUAUAAAUUACAAAAUCAAUUCACUGUAUCCUGCAAUAUUUCGUGUGAAAACGCGUUCGUCAUCUAUUAGCAUAAUUUCUUACAUUGCGACCGGUCGACGUACGUCGUUCUCUAUGUGACAUGCGUCAGAAACAGCUAUGGUGGUAUUCAAAAUGCACAGGUUAUAAAAUGCCGUGAAAACUAAAAUUUAAUCGUGA